GGGGGUGUUCCGGAUUCGACCGGCGCGGUAGGGGAUUGACUGCAUACCGGAGAUGAUCGUUGGCUCCGCAAAAAUCGAUCAAACCAAUAACUGCGAACGAAGAGUACGCACUGGCGGCUUAAUUUCCCGCCACGUCGUUGUGUCUGACGGACGCUAAGACAUAAACGGCGUCAUCCAGCGUUCUGGUCAUCUUCCGGGUCACUCGGGAAGGAGACGAGAAAUCAAGAGUGAAUAGUCGGCAAGCGGAUCUGUCCGCCGAUACCCCAGCAGACGAUAAACGAACAUCAGACGGACUAAGUAUGUAGAUGUCAAUACUUGAUUGCGUCGGCACAGGGGUUCAACUCCCCUC
rnacentral:tmRNA from 1 species